rnacentral:rRNA from 1 species
UACGGGGGAUGCAAGCGUUAUCCGGAUUUAUUGGGUUUAAAGGGUGCGUAGGCUGUGAGGUAAGUCAGCGGUGAAAUGCCCCCGCUCAACGGGGUGAAGCGCCAUUGAUACUGCCUUGCUGGAAUGCGGAUGCCGUGGGAGGAAUGUGUGGUGUAGCGGUGAAAUGCAUAGAUAUCACACAGAACACCGAUUGCGAAGGCAUCUCACGAAUCCGCGAUUGACGCUGAUGCACGAAAGCGUGGGUAUCAAACAGG